rnacentral:lncRNA from 1 species
UAAACCUUGGCCAAGCCAAAGCAGACCUGAUGGGUAAAAUUCAACCUAAUUAAACCCGAAGCACACCCAAUCGCCAAAGAAAGAUGAAGAAACAGAUAUAUUCCUUUGUUUCUUGAAUAGAAAAGCCCGAAGAAUGGAAAUAGGAUUUAUAACUUCCUGACGGCCUCACAAGAUCAAGAUCCUCUCUUGCUUCUCUAGAGAAUGUGCUCCAUCAAAAAGAGAGAAUAAACCAAGAAGAGGAAGACAGAGGAUCCGGAAACAGGGAUGAUGGUGCACGGAAGUCCCAGGAUGACAGCUGUGCAUCAGGCCUUCAGCAGCCAGGAUGGGAGCAGAAGGAUGGGGAGCUCUGGGAGUGUCUCCAAGAAAGAAAAAGAAACUGAUCAAAUAUCUAAUUUUUAAAACAUAUUGAGGGGAAAUUUAUACUUCUGCAAUAAAUUUUAGGAUAUCGUAAUAGAAACUAAGAAAAUAACAAAUAAAAAAACAAAAAAACAAAAAACAAGGUAAUUAUCAACCGCGGGAGAAGAAAG